CCCUGUCUGGCUCAGUUGGUAGAGCAUGUGACUCUUGAUCUCAGGAUUGUGAGUUCGAAGCCCAUGUUGGGUG
rnacentral:tRNA from 1 species